rnacentral:rRNA from 1 species
UAGGAAACUUGAGAAGAGCUGUCCCUAGUACGAGAGGACCGGGAUGGACGAACCUCUGGUGUGUCAGUUGUUCUGCCAAGAGCACGGCUGAUUAGCUACGUUCGGAAGUGAUAACCGCUGAAAGCAUCUAAGCGGGAAGCACGCUUCAAGAUGAGGUUUCCAUGGGCUUCGGCCCGAGAGGCUCCCAGCUAGACUACUGGGUUGAUAGGCCAGACGUGGAAGCACAGUAAUGUGUGUAGCUGACUGGUACUAAUAAGCCGAUAACUUGACACAACAAAG